GUGCUCGCUUAGGCAGCACAUAUACUAAAAUUGGAACAGUACAGAGAAGAUUAGCGUGGCCCCUGCGCAAGGAUGACACGCAAAUUUGUGAAGCAUUCCAUAUGUUU
ensembl:snRNA U6 U6 spliceosomal RNA